AUUCACCUUAAGAUCGUGCCAACAAGGGCCUAUCACAAAUUGGAGAUAAGGAUGGAGAAGAGAAACCUCUCUUAAUCAGAAUUACUCCUGGCAUGGAGGAGGAGCGGCUGGGAGUUGUAGCCGGAAGCCAGAGCACAUGUGUUGCAGCUGAAUCAAUCAGGAAGUGAUCGCGAUCGAUGCAUCAAAGGAUAUCCCUUUAUUGCCUGAAGUGGUAUUAUGACCACAAAGAACAACAGAAGAUUGUGCAUUGCAGACCAUAGAGAAGGCCACAGGCCCUGAUUCUUCCUCUUCCUCCUUCUUACAUUGGCCAUUUCAUCAUGGUGUUCUGCUGUGACUUCGCUGAGCCUGUCUUCAGAGAAGACUCUCGCACUCCUCUAGGAACACUUCCCAAAAUGCCCAAAACAGACCAUCUGACAGUGAUUCACUGGGGCUUCCUGCAAGAUUCAGGCAUGCCUCAGAGCUGUGUGCAAUGCUACGGAUUCCUGGGAUGUUUUGAGAAGGCUGGAUCACACUUGCAGGCGUUGAGUUAUCCGGUCACAUCGGGAUAUAACAUCAGUUCACACAGACAGAGACUGGAUCUUCUUCAAAGAUGUCCAUCCUCAAGGUUCUUCUGUACAAGCAAGGCUAGUCAUUCUUCCCUGUCUUUAGUCCCAUCAUAUUCAACCUGUCUUUGUCUUCUUUCCAAGAGCCUGCUUCAAAACUGGGAGCAAGACUUUGAUGGCCUAUGUAAGUGCAUGUGUCCUGUGCUCAAAUUCUGCUUCUCCAUUACUUUCAUUUCUUCCUCUUUUAGACCCUCGUGUGACAAGCGAAGUUAA
rnacentral:lncRNA from 1 species